rnacentral:rRNA from 1 species
CAGUCGCCGCGGUAACACGGAGGAUCCAAGCGUUAUCCGAAAUCAUUGGGUUUAAAGGGUCCGUAGGCGGUCUUGUAAGUCAGUGGUGAAAGCCCAUCGCUCAACGGUGGAACGGCCAUUGAUACUGCAGGACUUGAAUUAUUGGGAAGUAACUAGAAUAUGUAGUGUAGCGGUGAAAUGCUUAGAGAUUACAUGGAAUACCAAUUGCGAAGGCAGGUUACUACCAAUUGAUUGACGCUGAUGGACGAAAGCGUGGGUAGCGAACAGGAUUAGAUACCCCUGUAGUCCCUGUCUCUUAUAA